rnacentral:rRNA from 1 species
CAUGCUCGUCGUCGAUGAUGAUGUUUGUGUGAUUAAUUGUCCUCGCAAACGACGCAGCAACCCUUAUCUUCANUUACUGACCACGCAGGAUCNACAGCGUCCUGGUGCCAUCUCUGGAGAUGACUGCCAGGGAUAACCUGGAAGGAAUGGUGGUGGAUGACCGUCAAAUCAUCAUGCCCCUUAUGGGCACGGGCUACACACGUGCUACAAUGGCGUAAACAAAGAGGACAGCGAUACUGCGAAGUUGAGCAAAUCCCAAAAACUAACGUCUCAUUUUCGGAUUGUAGUCUGCAACUCUGACUACAUGAAGCGUGGAAUCGCUAUAAUCGCGAAUCAGAAUGUCGUCGGUGAAUACGUUCCCGGGUCUUGUACACACCG